rnacentral:rRNA from 1 species
UACGUAGGGGGCUAGCGUUGUCCGGAUUUAUUGGGCGUAAAGAGCUCGUAGGUGGUUCGGUUAGUCGGAUGUGAAAUCUCCAGGCUCAACCUGGAGGGGUCAUUCGAUACUGCCGUGACUAGAGUUCGGUAGAGGAGUGUGGAAUUCCUGGUGUAGCGGUGAAAUGCGCAGAUAUCAGGAGGAACACCAGUGGCGAAGGCGGUUCUCUGGGACGGUACUGACGCUGAGACGCGAAAGCGUGGGGAGCGAACAGG